rnacentral:lncRNA from 1 species
UAGAGAGACCAAAAAUUUGUACGUUAUUUACGCCCAGAAAUAUACGCUUCGGCGUCAGCAAACGCGCAACGUUGGAAAACGGAUCGUGCAAAUUAGUUUUAAGAGGCAGAGGCCGUGCGCUUAUUGCAGGAGUUCACGAAACUGAGGUUCGCGGCCAAGAACGUCACCACGUGUUUUUGUAUCAAACACGCCGUGACCCGUAGGUCAAGACGGUGUUUGAAAGUCAAAUAUUUUGUUCACGAUUUGUGCUCGCUUGCUCUUUUAUUCCUCCCGAAUACAUAUUUACUCGGCCGUUAUUUGGCAGAAAGGUUUUCGUCGGAACGUCGCGUGAAUUUUGUCGAGAAAAAACAAGCACCUUUUCCUUCCGGUCUUUACCAGAGGGAGACGGCGUGCGAUCACGGUAUCGGCAGGGAGAAUGAGAGACGGGCAUCGUUUAGCCACUUGAAGCACGGCCUGACCUCGUGGACCAGGAAGGUGGACACCUCCCCGAACAGACCCACGCUACACUAUGGGUGAACCUGAACAGCGCAGGAGAGACAGAGAGAGUGUGUGUUCCACUGAUGCUUGGAUGAGUGAUCCAGUGUAAGUAGUGUAUCUAGCUGUGUAAGUCUAUGGGUGCUCUGAUUUCCUCCCACACUCCAAAGACAUGCUGUUCGGGUUCCCCCCUGGUGCGUGAGUGACAGAGAGAGUGUGUUUCACCCAUAUAUGGAUGAGUGACCCAGUGUAAGUAGCGUAUCUAGCAGUGUAGGUCACCACGGUGAACAAGGUGUGUGGGCUCAUAACACUACAUGGAGUUCAUUGGAAGUCGCUUUGGAGAAAAGUGUCUGAUAAAUAAAUGAAUGUAAAUGAAAUGUAAGACUACA